rnacentral:lncRNA from 1 species
UAUUUAACAAAAUAGUUAGAUAUUUCCCAAUUACAUUUUAAUCUGGUUCCAUCCAUGCCCUAUAGUGGUAUGUGUGGCCUCUCUGGUGUCAUGGAUUAGAGUGCUUGACCUGAAGUCAGGGGAACCUGAAUUCAAAUCCUACCCAAGUUCAGUGGACCAUCAUAGAUGUAUUGAGAAACCAACCAGGGAGAUUAUGAAAUUGAAUGAAGACCAUCUUUAAGUAAGACCACCUUUCUCUAC